CAGUUCCAGCCUCCUCUUCGCCUCCUCCACCACCGGCGCCAGCACCACCACCGGCUUUCUGACUCUCUUCGGUGACGGGUAUUCUUGGGUGGAUAAUACGGAUUACGUUGUUAUUGCUUAAGAAUACGCGUAGUCGAGGAGAGUACUCGCGGCAGGCGGGUGGGCAGCGACCACCCACCCCGGUUGGCUCCUUAAACGGCUCUAGUUGCCAAGCCAAUAGGAUGCCUCCCUGAUCUUCUGAAGCCAACAGCACAAGUUCCACAAUGGGAGAAGGCCCCAGUAAACACACCACCUUCACCACUUCUAAAUCAUCAAGGGAAUUUUCAAACCAAUCUAGCGUUCAUCAGUCAGUUCAUUCAGGGCUCUGAAGUUCCACACUUGGAGCCAGUUUGCAGAGAUGUCCACAACUAGGAGCUUAUGAAGACUAUUCUGGUGAGCCCAUUAUAGGGCAAUAACCUCAGGUGGGGCUGAAAGGGGAUGAUGGAGAGCAGGAGCUGUAAGAUGAGAUGGGGGGUUGGGAAAGACAAGAGGUGAUUUUCCCCCCCUGGUGAGAACAGAAGGAUGCAAAAAUGGAGAACUAACCUGUGUUUCGGACUUUGAUGCCUUGAUCCUGAGAGACAUUGCACUGACAUGUGAUGAAUAGGAAGGAAAACACGCAAACUUGCAACCCUCCCUACCUGAUUUCUGCACGGAGAAAAACAAAAUUCUGCAAUGAAAAUUAAUUAGAAAAAGUAAGUGCAUUUGUGAACAUCUGUGUUUUCCUAUGUUUUAGCAUGUUUCCAUUAGCUCCUGGAAGAAACACGAGGCACUUGUUCUGGCCAGUGUCUGACCGAAAUAAAUUGAUUUAUUCAUUCAUUCACACAAAGCACUGGAACGCCUUGAGUAGUAGAAUCAUAGAAUCAUAGAGUUGGAAGGGACCUCAAGUUCUAUACCUGAUGCUGGCUUGUGAGAGAUCAACCCAGAUGUUUUCAGCUUUAUCUCUGAAUCCAUAAGGGCUAGAAAUUUGCUUUAAACAUUUGUGACAAAUCCAAAAUUCUGCACUGGCUCAAAAUUGUGCAUUCAGACUUGCUCCCUAGAAGAAGUAUAUAUUCGGCUACACCACUGUAAGAGCAUGACGACAAUCAGGUCCAAAGAUGCCAUGCAAAGUGAGUUUGUUCAGCUCUGAUUGGGCAGGUGCUUAUUUGACUUGCAUCCUGUCCACAGGAUCAGAGCCUCACAAGCUGGUGCUUUUGUUCUGCACCAGGUUACACCCUCUAUUCCGUUUAAGCAGCAUAGAACAAAGGGCACCCUGGCCAGGUUUCGAGCUGGCUCAGGAUUUUGGGUGGUUCCUGAUGAAGACAAAGGGAAAUGACUCCCACUUUGCCAAUAAGCGAUGUGGCAAACACAACCAACCAGGAACUGUGGGAAGGGUCGCAGCAGAAUAGAAGAACACAUGCUUCGCACACACAAAAUCCCAGAUUUGGUUUCUGGAGUCUCCAGUUUUGUUUUAAGGUCAGGGAUGAGAUGGUGGAGCUUUUGAGAGAGCCCAAGACUCCAGGGAGCUGCUACCAACCAAGGAGAGUUCCUCAACUAAGGGUCCUCUAGAUGUUUUAGAUGGCAGCCCCAGACAGGACAUUGCAAUGACACUUAAGCUUAACUUCCUGGUGGAUUCUGCCCAAGGGAUCAGAUGUAUGUGUCUCCUGCCCAGCCACUCUCAAAGCACCCUUCAGUUUAUCUAGUAGUAGACCCAGCCCCAUCUGCCCUCCUAUUGCAUGAUGUUUCACCAGCAUCUCUGGUUUGUUUACAUCACACUCUGCUAGGCUAUGUGAACUAGCUAUGCUAGUCAUACUUUACUGUGACUGGGGGAUGGGCAGGCUGGUUGGAUUAUCGGGCUGCAGGAUCAAAGCAUCAUGGUGUUGUUGUUGUUGUUUUUUUUUUUAAAAGGGGGAACUGGGCCACUCUUUAAAUAACUCUCAUUUGUUAGGAUGGCACCACAAAGUCUGCUUCCAAAUGAGCAGAAGAGAGACAGAAAUAAAGUGGAGUUGUCAUGGGCAAUGGUGAUUGUUUAACACAAAUUGAUUUAAGGCAGAAAUAAUAGGAAGCAGAGGGAACGAUGAUGAGAAAUGGAGGAGCCUGGUGCAGAGGCAGAGGAGCAGAUAGACAAGAAGCGGGGGGAGGGAGGAGGAGUUUGAUUCAGCAAGUGGAAAGUCAGAAUUGUGUUCUCUGGGGGGCAAUGCUCAGCCUAUGCUCUCUCUGUUUUAAUAUGUCGUGAAAUGUGCGCAGUCAACUAUUGACAGAUGACCAUUGCAGCACACUGGAUUGUGAAUCAGAUUGGGACACCUCGGUGCAAACCCACGCAGUCAUGAACCUUCCUUGGACCAGUCCCUGCCUCUGUCUCCCUAGCAGGGCUGUAUUGAGAACAAAACACAUCGUAUCCUGAGCAAUUAUUCCAAAUAUUGUCAAUACUAAAUGUGAUUAUUGCAAACCUUUUGCUUUUACAAUCUAUACCAGCAGCUAAAGAAGCUGCAACCAGCUUUUGCUUCCUUACACUGGCAUUUCAAUAUUGUAAAUAGUUGCACUGAAUAAAGAUCUUUGUACACCCGAAGUGGUACUCACCUUACUUUUGCUUCAUUGUUAAGAUCUCUGGAUCUUUAGAAUCCCUGUUGUCAUGAAUUUUUAAAAACACGAGUUCCAAAAAUGUGCAUCAGGCUAAACUGCUGUUUAUAUGCAGUGUUACGUAUAGAAAGUUGAAUUAAUUUUCAUCUCAUGUGGGGAGGGUGGAGAGAGUGUUCCUGCUUUCAAAUUACAUCUGACAAUAGGCUUUUAACAGUUUGGGAUGCUUUCACUAUAACAAUGGAAUAUUUUAAUCUUUCAUAAUGGAUUUUUUAAAAACCUAUUUUGAAAUGUAUUUUGUCACUCUACAGAAGUGGGAUGCUUUAAAUGAAGCAUUAGAAUUAGGAGCUACUAAGACAUGCUGUGUGUUGAUUCCACUCAGCCUCACGCUAGCGAAAACCAGAUAGGAAUGCAAUCUGCAUGCAACCCUUUAACAUCCAAAUUCCAGGCUGUGUGCAUCUCUGAAUUACAACCAAUUAGAAAUACUUUUCUCUUCUUCAAAAAAAACACAUUUGUUGAGACAUCAGUCUAGAAGCAAGCAAAGGGCAGAAUUCAACCAGGACAGUUUUAUUUUAUUUUUUAAUUUACUGAAAAUGUUUCUAACCUAUUACUGUGAUACAUGGCUGGUUGUUUUUCUGUGUUUUCCUGAUAUAUUGAAUGUGCUUUGUAUGCUGUAUAUAUUUCUAUUAAUAAAAGAAAGAAAGAAAAGCAA